CUCCAGGUCGACUUUCCAGGCGAUUACUCUAUAAAAUCCGAGGCUGGCCAGAAGUAUCUUGUCAGGCUUUCUCGGACUGCUGAAAUUCCUGGAAAAUGGAGGCUUUACUUAGUUGAAUCAGGAAGGCGCCGGCUAUGGGGAAAAAAAAAGUCAAGUUUUCAGACGGGACCCUUUGCUUGCAAUAACAUUAAGUUGGGUAGCAGGUGCUGGGCAAGUGGCUGUACGAUUCCUUAUGCCGAAAAGCUGAUUAAUGUUAAGCAACUGCUGACCUGACGGUUCAGGAAGUUUUGCUGAGCUUCUUAUGAAAGCUUGCCUACAGCCAGGUCCUAUGAAGGCAUUUUCUCAAUUGAGGUUUCCUCUUUUCAGAAUCUCCCUGUGUAGCCUUGGCUGUCCUGGAACUCACUCUAUCAAACAGGCUGGCCUCAAACUCAUGAAGAUCUGCCUGUCUCUCCCUCCCAAGUACUGGGAUAUUAAAGGUCACAAUGCCAGAUCCUGAACUCUGCCUGUGACCCUAACUACUUAGAAGUUCUGACACCGAGCGGAUGAAUAAAGUUGCUCCUGCUCAUCUAACUUUGGUGGCCUUGUCCUCAAUAUUUCUGAGGCGCCCCGACCUUGAAUCUCAUAUUGAAGACCUUGAAAGCUCUUCACUGUCUAAAUGAACUGAUUCUGUAAUUCCAUCAGUGGCUACUGCAACAUUCAUAACAUUGCAUCUACCGUAGAUGCAUCUACCAUGGGUGUGCUUCAGAGAGCCCCAGCCCCAAACCCUCUCCAUGUGUCAUUUUGGGGGGCAGCGAGCUAUAAAGUAAAAACAAUCCUCUUCUAUAGGACAGCUGUGGAUUCAGAACAAAAGACUAAAAUUCUUAAUCGGGCAUGUUGCACAAACCUGUAAUCCCAGCACUUAGGUAGAGGCAAAGGUUCAGAAAUUCAAGGUCACUCUCUGUGACAUUUGAGUGAGUUUGAGGCCAGCCUGGGAUACACAUGACCUUGUCUUAAAAAUAAAGUAGGACUGGAACCCAAGGCUUACUUCAUUAGCAGCUGUCACUGGGUCACCCCGGCCCUCCUUUGUGCCCCUUUAUUAUGUAUGCAGACUCCUGCUGAAUGUUCCCUCUAGGUUAUUUCCCCCACAGUCCUAGGUUCC
rnacentral:lncRNA from 1 species